UCUUGGAGACUCUGAGUUCUCUCUCACAAGUCACAACUUCGUUUUAUGUGAUCGCUCCUCUCCUCUCGACUGUUAAUAUUUGUGAUAUUUUCUAAUCUUCAGUGAUGUUAUAAGACAUUUGAAAUAGAAUGGGGAUCUAUCCAAACGGUUAUCUUGAACUGUUUGGUCGUUCGAUGCAUGAAUGAAGUGUGUGUUGCGACUUAGAGAACCAACAUUUUAACGAAUAUGCUGUGAUGAUGAAUCAUCAAUUUUGUCUAGCAUUUCAAGCCUUGUCUGGCAUAUUGAUUUCAGGAUUAGUCUUUGGUGUUCCUACUCCAGAGGAGCCAGCUAUUGUAUGCUAUGUGAACAAGGACCUAGCUCACAUUCCUGUUGAUCAAGAUAAAGAGGGGAUGUCAAAGAACUCUACAAAGCAAGUUUGUAGCAAGGGAAAUCAUAUAUCAUGCUACACUUUAUGGAAAGAAAUUAUAAAUCCACUAAAUAAUGCUACUGAAAUCUCCAUUCUAGCCAGAGGUUGCUGGGAAAGCUCUAGGCCUGAAGAAUGUAAUUCACAAGCAUGCAUAGCGAACGAUUGGCCUUCUCAGCAAGCCAACGACAAAAAGUUCUGCUGUUGCACUGGAAAUUUAUGCAACAGAAAUGUUUCAGUGGCCUUAUCUGCGCAUGCGCCAACUCUUCGCCCGUCUCCGUCCCAACAGACGCCGCAUGCGACCGUUUCUGAGUUAUCAGGAGAGGAUACACCCUUCUUUUUGAUCGUCGUCUGUAUUUCUUUAUCGCUUGUAAUAAUGAGUCUAAUAGCUUUAUGUACCCUUCAUUUUCUUUUUGACCGUUUAUUGCAUAAACCUCCUUUAUCCGACUCGGUUCGACUGGUUGAGAAUGGCCCAAGUGAACGACCCAUCAAACUCAUAGAAAUAAUCGGUCAGGGUCGUUACGGAUCGCUGUGGAAAGGCAUGGAUCGUGACGGACAGCUGGUUGCCGUGAAAGCGUUCCAGCCGCACUUGCGGCAGAUUUUCGUGAAUGAGCGCGACAUUUUCCAGCUGCCAUUCAUGAGUAUUCCGGCGCUGGUUGCCUACUACGGCUAUCAGGAAUCGGCAACGCAACUCGACCUGUUGCUGUUGUAUUGCGGACUCGGUUGUCUGCAAGAUUACCUCAAGACGCACACACUUGACUCGACUGUUUUCUGUCGCAUGACUUCGUCUAUUGCCAGGGGACUUGCUCAUCUACACACCGAAAUACGGCAAGGAAAUAAAGUCAAACCGUGCGUAUGCCACCGAGAUCUGAAUACAAGAAAUAUUCUGGUCAAAGAUGAUCUCAGCUGUUGUCUGUGUGAUUUUGGACUAGCCGUUCAAGUGGGCAAUGUUGGAAGAGGUGACGACUCUGCCAGAAAAUCGAUCAGUGAUGUUGGAACACUGCGUUACAUGGCUCCUGAAGUGUUGGAAGGAGCAGUCAACCUGAGAGACUGUGAAUCAUCGCUGAAGCAAAUCGAUGUCUAUGCUGCCGGUCUGGUAUUAUGGGAACUAGGAACCAGAUGUCAGGACCUUUUUGUUGAUAAUGCCACUGUAGUGCCAUAUGCAUUGCCAUUCCAAGAAGAAGUUGGUUUGCAUCCAAGCUUUGAGCAGAUGCAGGUAAUGGUGUCCCGCAACAAAGCGCGUCCACUGUUCCCUGCACUGUGGAAGGACUGGCGUGAUUACGGCGCUGUUCGCCUACUGAGAGAGACUAUCGAAGACUGCUACGAUCAGGAUGCGGAGGCUAGGCUUACGGCGCUCUGCAUUGAGGAACGUCUUGCUGACCUGACUCAACUAUUACAAAAAGAAUCUCAUGGAAAUUAUCCUUUCAAUUUGGGUGCUCAAAUUGUCAGCUACAAUAAUUCAGUUACUACCACCAAUACAUUGGCUCCUGAUGAUACAGUUGAAUCAAAUUUAUCUGAAGGAACAAUUGAAACUCUAUUAACCAAUAGUCCAUCGGAGUGCACAGAACCUUCUCCUGGCUAUGCAUGGAAAGAUUCAAACAGUAGGGUUGUGGUUAAUCCUAUCAUUCAACCACAUCAGGGGCGCAAUCCUUGCUUGGAGCGGAAUCUUUUUGUUGGUGAAGAUAAUCAGGAGGCUGAUGCUGUACCAUUAGUGGAGAGGUCGAUGAAACAUCAGAAUCAGCCUUGCUUGUCACCGUUUGUGCUUAAGCCGAACAAUGUGCCCCCACCAGGGUUCAUACGCAAACUCCUACACACGAAGAAGUCGAAUAUACUACAUGCCAAUGAGGAUUGCUCCAGUAAUAGCUGAACUCUGACGCUUGUAUGUAGAAACUCUCAAUGCAGAUUCGAGUCAACUUCGUACUUCGCUCAAUGGGAGGAAGUUGAUUAAAGUCUUCACAAAACGUUAUGGAAAUAAUACUUAGUUGGUUCGGACAGCCCAUUCAUGCGUGUACUAUAUUGAAGAAAACCAGAAAGAUUGAAGUCUCAACUUGAACUUUGAAGUUUCAACUUCAGGAGUCUGGUCUCACUAGGCGUCAAAUCUGCAAUAGGCCUACCAGUAAAAAUCAACCUGAAAAAACAAAACUCAAACUUCAAAGCUUGGAGCUGGAAGCUUCAAGUGUGGAACUGUUCUCAACGGAGAAGGACUUUAUUGUUGCUUCUACUUCAUUUCAUUGAAGGCUGGAGGCGUAGGACUUGGACAUGGAUGAGUGCUGCUGGAUUGUGCGAGGCGCAAGGUUCAUGCUACCACAGCACCAAUUAAUAAUGCCGACCGGCAAGUUCCUUGGAGAAUAUCAAUUUUGUUCUACCAGCAUAAAGGGCUCAAGAAGGACAACCAUGGCUCCCCUCACUUGGCCUAGCUUUCUUGCAAAAUGCGAGACGACUGGAUCACUACAUCAGUUUCAACACUUGAAUAGAGCUAGCAGCGCCAAUAAUAAGUGGUAUUGGUACAGAUCACACAAUGCUUCUCACCGCACCACAAAAUCACCUGGACAUCAUCAUACUGUGACAUCAUCAUCAUCAUCAUCAUCAUCACUACCAUCAUGACAUCUUUAAACACCACCAAGCAGGGAAUGCGCAGAGUAACUGUAGCGGCUCAGAUAUAGUGAUUGCUGAUGAUGAUGCUGUAUUGAUGUUGACGAAGUGUUGUCAUCGCUACGGUUGAGAAUAAGAUUUGUAAUAUCCUUGAGUGGAUCCAAGAGCGGCUGCAUUCGUUUAGUGUUUUG
rnacentral:misc_RNA from 1 species